rnacentral:lncRNA from 1 species
UUGGUAAUAAUAUAUUGUUAUUGUCUAAAUUUUUUUUGCAUAUAUUUUUUUUUGGUUCCAGGUGAACAACAUAAGAAAAGCAAAAACCAAUGGUCUUUUGCAAAAUCAGUUGUCAUUCCACGAAAACUAAAAUUUAUGUGAAAUUUAAGCUUCACACAGAAAGAGACUUCAAGGAAUGACGGAUAAUCAACAAAAAAAAAAGGUCAGAAGAUGAUUUUUCAAACCAAACAACUACCUCAAAACAGCUUUGACACUUAGCACUACAGUAAGAAUGAGCAGACAUCAAACAUCAGUUCCUUCAAGAAAAAUGGAAAAGCCAAGGGAUAAUGAAUAAAACCCACAAUUUAGAUCUUAUAUUCCAAUCAGAAAGAGGGGACCAGAGGAAGAGGACUACUCAUUGCCAUCUACAACAAUUGAACAAAGCAAUAUGCACAACUACACCUGAAAUAUAUGGUACACUACACCCCAGGUGAUCGCCUCCAAGCCUACAAAACCAGAGAAUAUGGCAUCAAAAAACAAACAAACCGGAGAACAGAGGCAUAAAAAAAAGUAGACUCCAUAACCACCUCGCCACAAACUCCCUCAGUGGUCUCCUUGCCACCAAACCACCCCACCUGCAGCCUUAACCAACCACACGAUGCAUUCAGUUCAUCUAUUACAAUCCUCACUUACCUACCAAGAAAGACCCAAGUCCUUCUAACAUUUCAAAACUUAACACUGUUUCAAGUGAAAGCAAUUUAGAAUGUACCUAAUCUGGUCCCCGUCGGCUGCUGUUCAUGAACGCACCUAUAGCGAAGACGGCGGCUACAAAAAGCAAGCCCCAGAUGUCUUCAAAUCGACGGUUGCAAUACUCGACCUUCUCCUCCAACCUUACAAGUUCAAACUCCAGGUCCGUUUAUUUUGCAGUCAAAUCAGCAAGUUCGAAGGUUUUACCUGCCGUGACAGGGGCAUCUGCCUUAUCAAGUUGCCGUUCCAAUUUUCUUUGCACUGCAAAAAAAUGUGGAGAUUACUCCCGAGACGACCGUUGUUGAAGCUACACGGCCAAGGUCACUAGAUAGUGAUUUUGGAAGUGGUUCAUUGGUCAUGCCUGGGGGUAGAGGUAGGGCUGAGGCUAGGGUUUGGGUCGCGGGGGUCGGGGUCACGGAUGGGGGUAGGGG